AUACCUACCUGGCAGGGGAGAAACCGUGGUCGUCCGGGCGGUUUUCCCAGCGCGCGGCUCACCCCUUGCAAUCCGGGCAUGCUGAUCCCUGCGAUUUCCCCAAAUGUGGGAAACUCGACUGCGUAAUGUGUGGUAGUGGGGGACUGCGUUCCCGCUUUCUGCUG